rnacentral:rRNA from 1 species
UACGUAGGUGACCAGCGUUGUCCGGAUUUACUGGGCGUAAAGAGCGCGCAGGCGGUCGUUCAAGUCGAGUGUGAAAGCCCCCGGCUCAACUGGGGAGGGUCAUUCGAUACUGAUCGACUUGAAGGCAGGAGAGGGAAGUGGAAUUCCCGGUGUAGUGGUGAAAUUCGUAGAUAUGGGGAGGAACACCGGUGGCGAAGGCGGCCAUCUGGACGGAUACUGACGCUGAGACGCGAAAGCGUGGGGAGCAAACAGG